rnacentral:rRNA from 1 species
UAGUCCACGCCGUAAACGAUGGGUACUAGAUGUUGCGGGAAUUGACCCCUGCAGUGUCGUAGCUAACGCAUUAAGUACCCCGCCUGGGAAGUACGGCCGCAAGGUUAAAACUCAAAGGAAUUGACGGGGGCCCGCACAAGCGGUGGAGCAUGUGGUUUAAUUCGAUGCAACGCGAAGAACCUUACCUGGGUUUGACAUCCGUAGACAUCCCUAGAGAUAGGGCUUUCCCUUCGGGGGACUACGAGACAGGUGCUGCAUGGCUGUCGUCAGCUCGUAUCGUGAGAUGUCGGGUUAAG